AAAGAAACCAACAGGGAUUGCCUCAGUAACGGCGAGUGAAGCGGCAAGAGCUCAAAUUUGAAAGCUGGCCCCUUCGGGGUCCGCGUUGUAAUUUGCAGAGGAUGCUUCGGGUGCAGCCCCCGUCUAAGUGCCCUGGAACGGGCCGUCAUAGAGGGUGAGAAUCCCGUCUGGGACGGGGUGUCUGCGUCCGUGUGAAGCUCCUUCGAAGAGUCGAGUUGUUUGGGAAUGCAGCUCUAAAUGGGUGGUAAAUUUCAUCUAAAGCUAAAUACUGGCCGGAGACCGAUAGCGCACAAGUAGAGUGAUCGAAAGAUGAAAAGCACUUUGAAAAGAGAGUUAAACAGCACGUGAAAUUGUUGAAAGGGAAGCGUUUGCGACCAGACUCGCUCGCGGGGUUCAGCCGGCAUUCGUGCCGGUGUACUUCCCCGUGGGCGGGCCAGCGUCGGUUUGGGCGGCCGGUCAAAGGCCCUCGGAAUGUAUCACCUCUCGGGGUUGUCUUAUAGCCGAGGGUGCAAUGCGGCCUGCCCGGACCGAGGAACGCGCUUCGGCUCGGACGCUGGCGUAAUGGUCGUAAAUGAGC
rnacentral:rRNA from 1 species